GACAGAGGUCCCGAGCGUUAGGCGGAAUCACUGGGCGUAAAGCGCGCGUAGGCGGUUCGUUAAGUGGGAUGUGAAAUCCCCGGGCUUAACCUGGGAAUUGCAUUUCAAACUGGCCGACUAGAGUACGGUAGAGGGAGGUAGAAUUUCCUGUGUAGCGGUGAAAUGCGUAGAUAUAGGAAGGAAUACCAGUGGCGAAGGCGGCCUCCUGGAUCGAUACUGACGCUGAGGCGCGAAAGCGUGGGGAGCAAACAGG
rnacentral:rRNA from 1 species